GACGAACGCUGGCGGCGUGCCUAAUACAUGCAAGUUGAGCGCUGAAGGUUGGUACUUGUACCAACUGGAUGAGCAGCGAACGGGUGAGUAACGCGUGGGGAAUCUGCCUUUGAGCGGGGGACAACAUUAGGAAACGAAUGCUAAUACCGCAUAAAAACUUUAAACACAAGUUUUAAGUUUGAAAGAUGCAAUUGCAUCACUCAAAGAUGAUCCCGCGUUGUAUUAGCUAGUUGGUGAGGUAAAGGCUCACCAAGGCGAUGAUACAUAGCCGACCUGAGAGGGUGAUCGGCCACAUUGGGACUGAGACACGGCCCAAACGCCUACGGGAGGCAGCAGUAGGGAAUCUUCGGCAAUGGACGAAAGUCUGACCGAGCAACGCCGCGUGAGUGAAGAAGGGUUUCGGAUCGUAAAACUCUGUUGGUAGAGAAGAACGUUGGUGAGAGUGGAAAGCUCAUCAAGUGACGGUAACUACGCAGAAAGGGACGGCUAACUACGUG
rnacentral:rRNA from 1 species